UUAGAAUUAGAAAACUGCAAAAUCUAAUAAUAUAAAAACAAUAAAAAGGCAGAAAAGUAAGCCAAAAGAUGCUAAUGAUUACCAUUAUUAGAUAAUGAAAGAAGGACGACAUAAACUAGCUAAUACAAAUCUCAGUUGUUACGUAAUCUUUAGGUCUUCAAAAAGAAAUGUAAACUAAAAUUGAAUAGAGAAUGCAUAUAGCUGAAAGAAAUCACAUUCUUUCGUACUGUUCUUGUUCUUAAGUGUUUCACAAGGAGGUGGGGGAAGGGGGCGGAAUAUGGAGGUGGGGGAAGGGGGUGGAAUAUGGAGGUGCGGGAAGGGGGUGGAAUAUGGAGGUGCGGGAAGGGGACCAUAUCCAUAAACAGGAUAGAUAGAAACCCCCACACAAAUUCACAUGAAAUCUUCAUUAGAAAAGAAAGAAAAUAUGAUAAUAAUAAAUUCAGAUUUAGCAAAGCUUGACAGUUAUUUUCGCAAAUCAACCAUAAAAGCAUUGGCUAAGCACUACAAAAUAUCCAUGUGUAUGAAAACUGUUAUUUCGCUUCUUUAAUAUUGUGCUUCUCACACAUCACAUGACAUUACCAACAAUAAACUGGUUUCAAAAGCUCCAAUGAAGACAGUCUACUGAUUACAAAACCAAGGUCGUUAAAAUCGAGAUUUUAUGCAAAAUCAAGAG
rnacentral:lncRNA from 1 species